UUAUAAGUGCCAACUGUUGAUUAGCGGCGGACGGGUGAGUAACACGUGGGCAACCUGCCUGUAAGACUGGGAUAACACCGGGAAACCGGUGCUAAUACCGGAUAAUCCUUUUCCUCUCAUGAGGAAAAGCUGAAAGUCGGUUUCGGCUGACACUUACAGAUGGGCCCGCGGCGCAUUAGCUAGUUGGUGAGGUAACGGCUCACCAAGGCGACGAUGCGUAGCCGACCUGAGAGGGUGAUCGGCCACACUGGGACUGAGACACGGCCCAGACUCCUACGGGAGGCAGCAGUAGGGAAUCUUCCACAAUGGACGAAAGUCUGAUGGAGCAACGCCGCGUGAGCGAUGAAGGCCUUCGGGUCGUAAAGCUCUGUUGUUAGGGAAGAACAAGUACCGGAGUAACUGCCGGUACCUUGACGGUACCUAACCAGAAAGCCACGGCUAACUACGUGCCAGCAGCCGCGGUAAUACGUAGGUGGCAAGCGUUGUCCGGAAUUAUUGGGCGUAAAGCGCGCGCAGGCGGUCCUUUAAGUCUGAUGUGAAAGCCCACGGCUCAACCGUGGAGGGUCAUUGGAAACUGGGGGACUUGAGUGCAGAAGAGGAAAGCGGAAUUCCACGUGUAGCGGUGAAAUGCGUAGAGAUGUGGAGGAACACCAGUGGCGAAGGCGGCUUUCUGGUCUGUAACUGACGCUGAGGCGCGAAAGCGUGGGGAGCAAACAGGAUUAGAUACCCUGGUAGUCCACGCCGUAAACGAUGAGUGCUAAGUGUUAGAGGGUUUCCGCCCUUUAGUGCUGCAGCUAACGCAUUAAGCACUCCGCCUGGGGAGUACGGCCGCAAGGCUGAAACUCAAAGGAAUUGACGGGGGCCCGCACAAGCGGUGGAGCAUGUGGUUUAAUUCGAGCACGCGAAGAACCUUACAGGUCUUGACAUCCUCUGACACUCUAGAGAUAGGAUUUUCCCUUCGGGGGAAAGGAGUGGACAGUGAUGCAUGAUGUCGUCAGCUCGUGUCGUGGAUGUUGGGUUAGUCCCGCACGAAGGGCACCCUGGAUCUUAGUGGCCAGCAUUCAGUGGCACUUCUUAAGGUGACUGCCGGUGAACAAACCG
rnacentral:rRNA from 2 species